rnacentral:tRNA from 1 species
GCACCAGGAGCCCCAGACGUUGAGGACGACCACCUUGCCGCGGUAGUCGGAGAGCUUGAGCGUGCCGGUGCCGUCCAGCCCGGUGCC